UACGUAGGGGGCAAGCGUUGUCCGGAAUUAUUGGGCGUAAAGAGCGCGCAGGCGGUCGUACAAGUCGCGUGUGAAAGCCCCCGGCUCAACUGGGGAGGGUCACGCGAUACUGUUCGACUCGAAGGCAGGAGAGGGAAGCGGAAUUCCCGGUGUAGUGGUGAAAUGCGUAGAUAUCGGGAGGAACACCAGUGGCGAAGGCGGCUUCCUGGCCUGUUCUUGACGCUGAGGCGCGAAAGCUAGGGUAGCAAACGGG
rnacentral:rRNA from 1 species